rnacentral:rRNA from 1 species
GGCGGACGGGUGAGUAAUGCCUAGGAAAUUGCCUUGAUGUGGGGGAUAACCAUUGGAAACGAUGGCUAAUACCGCAUAANGCCUACGGGCCAAAGAGGGGGACCUUCGGGCCUCUCGCGUCAAGAUAUGCCUAGGUGGGAUUAGCUAGUUGGUGAGGUAAUGGCUCACCAAGGCGACGAUCCCUAGCUGGUCUGAGAGGAUGAUCAGCCACACUGGAACUGAGACACGGUCCAGACUCCUACGGGAGGCAGCAGUGGGGAAUAUUGCACAAUGGGCGCAAGCCUGAUGCAGCCAUGCCGCGUGUAUGAAGAAGGCCUUCGGGUUGUAAAGUACUUUCAGCAGUGAGGAAGGGGGUGUCGUUAAUAGCGGCAUCUCUUGACGUUAGCUGCAGAAGAAGCACCGGCUAACUCCGUGCCAGCAGCCGCGGUAAUACGGAGGGUGCGAGCGUUAAUCGGAAUUACUGGGCGUAAAGCGCAUGCAGGUGGUUUGUUAAGUCAGAUGUGAAAGCCCGGGGCUCAACCUCGGAACUGCAUUUGAAACUGGCAAACUAGAGUACUGUAGAGGGGGGUAGAAUUUCAGGUGUAGCGGUGAAAUGCGUAGAGAUCUGAAGGAAUACCAGUGGCGAAGGCGGCCCCCUNNACAGAUACUGACACUCAGAUGCGAAAGCGUGGGGAGCAAACAGGAUUAGAUACCCU